rnacentral:rRNA from 1 species
GUCGACGGUGAGCUCCAGCUUGCUGGAGUGGAUCAGUGGCGAACGGGUGAGUAACACGUGAGCAACCUGCCCCAAACUCUGGAAUAAGCGCUGGAAACGGCGUCUAAUACUGGAUACGAGACCAACCUGCAUGGGUAUGGUUUGGAAAGUUUUUCGGUUUGGGAUGGGCUCGCGGCCUAUCAGCUUGUUGGUGAGGUAAUGGCUCACCAAGGCGACGACGGGUAGCCGGCCUGAGAGGGCGACCGGCCACACUGGGACUGAGACACGGCCCAGACUCCUACGGGAGGCAGCAGUGGGGAAUAUUGCACAAUGGGCGAAAGCCUGAUGCAGCGACGCCGCGUGAGGGAUGACGGCCUUCGGGUUGUAAACCUCUUUCAGCAGGGAAGAAGCGAAAGUGACGGUACCUGCAGAAGAAGCACCGGCUAACUACGUGCCAGCAGCCGCGGUAAUACGUAGGGUGCGAGCGUUGUCCGGAAUUAUUGGGCGUAAAGAGCUUGUAGGCGGUUUGUCGCGUCUGCUGUGAAAAUCCGGGGCUCAACCCCGGACUUGCAGUGGGUACGGGCAGACUAGAGUGUGGUAGGGGAGACUGGAAUUCCUGGUGUAGCGGUGAAAUGCGCAGAUAUCAGGAGGAAC